rnacentral:lncRNA from 1 species
AUGGCGGAGCCGGCGGUUACUCUGUCAGGGGGAGCCGCGGUCCUCUCGACGUGCACCUUCCCAGACAUAUGUCCUCUUGCGACGGCGACUUUGUCGGCAAAAGUUGGCCACGUCGGGCGGGCUAGUGUGGGGGAGAGGGCAUUCAUUCUUCUCUCUCACCCUCUCCCCAUCCAACCCAACUGCGUGGAUGGAGCCGGUGUGUGUCGAGGUUCGAGCUUCCCCAUGGCAAUUGACUGGCGGCGUGGCGCCGGUGCGGUGGCUGUGCGUCGAAGGUUUUCGCUGGUGGUGGAUGCUGUCACACCCCAAUCUAGCACCGCCGCGGUGACGCGGGACCCGAUGGUCACCGGCGACGCACGCGCGGCGGCGUUAUGCGGCGGCGGACGGGGCGGCACAGCGCGAGAGCGAGAGGGGAGGCUGGCGGCCGAGACAGCGGCUCAGGGAGGUAGAGGAGGAACCCUGGGUGGUGGCAGCGAAGGGAAUCGGUGCGGGACCGGUCGACGGCGGCGCGCGACUGCGCACGGCGGCGGCGGCGAGAGCGGCACAGCGCGAGAGCAAAAGGGGGCUGGGGGCGUCGGCGGCCAGGGGAAGGGAUUGGGGAGGUCGAGGGGGCCCAAGGAAGGCGAUGGCGAGCGGGUUCAAAGAGAGAGAGACCGACGGCGGUUCGCGAUUGCACACGGCGGCGGUGGAAGCAGAGCGACGGCGAGGGCGAGAUUUGGAGGACGAGUGAGCGAACCGAACGGCUCGGGAGUCAUCUACGAGUCUCCGUAAGGUGCAAACG